AGGAUAAACGCUGGCGGCGUGCCUAAUACAUGCAAGUCGAGCGGCAGCGCGGUCUUCGGACUUGCGGCGAGCGGCGGACGGCUGAGUAACACGUAGGAACGUACCCCAAAGUGAGGGAUAAGCACCAGAAAUGGUGUCUAAUACCGCAUGUGCUCUAAGGAGUAAAGCUUCGGCGCUUUGGGAACGGCCUACGCAUGAUUAGCUUGUUGGUGAGGUAAUGGCUCACCAAGGCGACGAUCAUUAGCUGGUCUGAGAGGAUGAUCAGCCAGACUGGGACUGAGAACGGCCCAGACUCCUACGGGAGGCAGCAGUAGGGAAUUUUCCACAUGGGCG
rnacentral:rRNA from 1 species